rnacentral:sRNA from 1 species
AACUCGAUGGUAGCUGACGAUACAGUUA